AGAGUUUGAUCCUGGCUCAGGAUGAACGCUAGCUACAGGCUUAACACAUGCAAGUCGAGGGGCAGCGGGAUUGAAGCUUGCUUCAAUUGCCGGCGACCGGCGCACGGGUGAGUAACGCGUAUCCAACCUUCCGUACACUCAGGGAUAGCCUUUCGAAAGAAAGAUUAAUACCUGAUGGUAUCUUAAGCACACAUGUAAUUAAGAUUAAAGAUUUAUCGGUGUACGAUGGGGAUGCGUUCCAUUAGGUAGUAGGCGGGGUAACGGCCCACCUAGCCAACGAUGGAUAGGGGUUCUGAGAGGAAGGUCCCCCACAUUGGAACUGAGACACGGUCCAAACUCCUACGGGAGGCAGCAGUGAGGAAUAUUGGUCAAUGGACGAGAGUCUGAACCAGCCAAGUAGCGUGAAGGAUGAAGGUCCUACGGAUUGUAAACUUCUUUUAUAAGGGAAUAAACCCUCCCACGUGUGGGAGCUUGUAUGUACCUUAUGAAUAAGCAUCGGCUAACUCCGUGCCAGCAGCCGCGGUAAUACGGAGGAUGCGAGCGUUAUCCGGAUUUAUUGGGUUUAAAGGGAGCGCAGACGGGUCGUUAAGUCAGCUGUGAAAGUUUGGGGCUCAACCUUAAAAUUGCAGUUGAUACUGGCGUCCUUGAGUGCGGUUGAGGUGUGCGGAAUUCGUGGUGUAGCGGUGAAAUGCUUAGAUAUCACGAAGAACUCCGAUUGCGAAGGCAGCACACUAAUCCGUAACUGACGUUCAUGCUCGAAAGUGUGGGUAUCAAACAGGAUUAGAUACCCUGGUAGUCCACACGGUAAACGAUGGAUACUCGCUGUUGGCGAUAUACUGUCAGCGGCUUAGCGAAAGCGUUAAGUAUCCCACCUGGGGAGUACGCCGGCAACGGUGAAACUCAAAGGAAUUGACGGGGGCCCGCACAAGCGGAGGAACAUGUGGUUUAAUUCGAUGAUACGCGAGGAACCUUACCCGGGCUUAAAUUGCAAAGGAAUAAUCUGGAAACAGGUUAGUCUUCUGACCUUUGUGAAGGUGCUGCAUGGUUGUCGUCAGCUCGUGCCGUGAGGUGUCGGCUUAAGUGCCAU
rnacentral:rRNA from 1 species